AUACGUAGGGAGCGAGCGUUGUCCGGAAUUACUGGGCGUAAAGGGCGCGUAGGCGGGUAUUUAAGUCAGAUGUGAAAGCUCCGGGCUUAACUUGGAGAGUGCAUUUGAAACUGGAUAUCUUGAGGGCAGGAGAGGAAAGUGGAAUUCCUAGUGUAGCGGUGGAAUGCGUAGAUAUUAGGAGGAACACCAGUGGCGAAGGCGACCACCUGGCCAGAUACUGACGCUGAGGUGCGAAAGCGUGGGGAGC
rnacentral:rRNA from 1 species